AUUGAACGCUGGCGGCAGGCCUAACACAUGCGAGUCGAGCGGAUGAAGGGAGCUUGCUCCUGGAUUCAGCGGCGGACGGGUGAGUAAUGCCUAGGAAUCUGCCUGGUAGUGGGGGAUAACGUCCGGAAACGGGCGCUAAUACCGCAUACGUCCUGAGGGAGAAAGUGGGGGAUCUUCGGACCUCACGCUAUCAGAUGAGCCUAGGUCGGAGUAGCUAGUUGGUGGGGUAAAGGCCUACCAAGGCGACGAUCCGUAACUGGUCUGAGAGGAUGAUCAGUCACACUGGAACUGAGACACGGUCCAGACUCCUACGGGAGGCAGCAGUGGGGAAUAUUGGACAAUGGGCGAAAGCCUGAUCCAGCCAUGCCGCGUGUGUGAAGAAGGUCUUCGGAUUGUAAAGCACUUUAAGUUGGGAGGAAGGGCAGUAAGUUAAUACCUUGCUGUUUUGACGUUACCAACAGAAUAAGCACCGGCUAACUUCGUG
rnacentral:rRNA from 1 species